rnacentral:sRNA from 1 species
UAUUCUGCCCCAUGGGGAAGGAUGAGAAGCUUCGACUAAGGUUCGACUCGAGCGAAGCGAGAGAACGUUGCCGCAGGCAACGGCCCGAAGGGCGAGGCGCUUUAGCGCCGAGUUAUCCUUCCCCCACCACCA